rnacentral:rRNA from 1 species
UAAACAAACUUGGAAAUAGCUGGUUCUCUCCGAAAACUAUUUAGGUAGUGCCUCAAGUAUUACCAUCGGGGGUAGAGCACUGUUAUGGCUAGGGGGUCAUGGCGACUUACCAAACCAUUGCAAACUCCGAAUACCGAUGAGUACAGCUUGGGAGACAGUGCACCGGGUGCUAACGUCCGGACACAAGAGGGAAACAACCCAGACCGCCAGCUAAGGUCCCUAAAAUUGGCUAAGUGGGAAACGAAGUGGGAAGGCUAAAACAGUCAGGAUGUUGGCUUAGAAGCAGCCAUCAUUUAAAGAAAGCGUAAUAGCUCACUGAUCGAGUCGUCCUGCGCGGAAGAUGUAACGGGGCUAAGCCAGUUACCGAAGCUGCGGAUGUGCGCGCAAGCGUACGUGGUAGGAGAGCGUUCCGUAAGCCUGUGAAGGUGGGUCGUGAGGCCUGCUGGAGGUAUCGGAAGUGCGAAUGCUGACAUGAGUAGCGUUAAAGGGGGUGAAAAGCCCCCUCGCCGAAAGCGCAAGGUUUCCUACGCAACGUUCAUCGGCGUAGGGUGAGUCGGCCCCUAAGGCGAGGCAGAGAUGCGUAGCUGAUGGGAAACAGGUCAAUAUUCCUGUACCGAUAUGUAGUGCGAUGUGGGGACGGAGAAGGUUAACUCGGCCGGGUGUUGGAUGUCCCGGUUCAAGCGUGUAGUCGUGCUGCCCAGGCAAAUCCGGGCGGCUUAGAUGAGGCGUGACAACGAGGCGGCUUGCCGCCGAAGUGAGUGAUACCCUGCUUCCAGGAAAAGCCACUAAGCUCCAGCUACAUACGACCGUACCGCAAACCGACACUGGUGCGCGAGAUGAGUAUUCUAAGGCGCUUGAGAGAACUCAGGAGAAGGAACUCGGCAAAUUGACACCGUAACUUCGGAAGAAGGUGUGCCUUUAGUAGGUGAACCAUUUACUUGGGGAGCCCAAUGAGGCCGCAGAGAAUCGGUGGCUGCGACUGUUUAUUAAAAACACAGCACUCUGCAAAGACGAAAGUCGACGUAUAGGGUGUGACGCCUGCCCGGUGCUGGAAGAUUAAAUGAUGGGGUGCAAGCUCUUGAUUGAAGUCCCAGUAAACGGCGGCCGUAACUAUAACGGUCCUAAGGUAGCGAAAUUCCUUGUCGGGUAAGUUCCGACCUGCACGAAUGGCGUAACGAUGGCCACACUGUCUCCUCCAGAGACUCAGCGAAGUUGAAAUGUUUGUGAUGAUGCAAUCUCCCCGCGGAAAGACGGAAAGACCCCAUGAACCUUUACUGUAGCUUUACAUUGGACUUUGAACAGAUCUGUGUAGGAUAGGUGGGAGGCUUUGAAGCGGUGCCGCUAGGUGUCGUGGAGCCAACGUUGAAAUACCACCCUGGUGUGUUUGAGGUUCUAACCUUGGCCCGUGAUCCGGGUUGGGGACAGUGUAUGGUGGGCAGUUUGACUGGGGCGGUCUCCUCCCAAAGCGUAACGGAGGAGUUCGAAGGUACGCUAGGCACGGUCGGAAAUCGUGCUGAUAGUGCAUUGGCAUAAGCGUGCUUGACUGCGAGACUGACAAGUCGAGCAGGUACGAAAGUAGGACAAAGUGAUCCGGUGGUUCUGUAUGGAAGGGCCAUCGCUCAACGGAUAAAAGGUACUCUGGGGAUAACAGGCUGAUACCGCCCAAGAGUUCAUAUCGACGGCGGUGUUUGGCACCUCGAUGUCGGCUCAUCUCAUCCUGGGGCUGUAGCCGGUCCCAAGGGUAUGGCUGUUCGCCAUUUAAAGAGGUACGUGAGCUGGGUUUAAAACGUCGUGAGACAGUUUGGUCCCUAUCUUCCGUGGGCGCUGCAAGAUUGAGAGAGCCUGCUCCUAGUACGAGAGGACCGGAGUGGACGCACCUCUGGUGUAUCGGUUGUCACGCCAGUGGCAUCGCCGAGUAGCUAUGUGCGGAAGAGAUAACCGCUGAAAGCAUCUAAGCGGGAAACUCGUCUCAAGAUGAGUCUUGCCGGGGCCUUGAGCCCCCUGAAGAGUCGUUCU